rnacentral:rRNA from 1 species
GGAUCAUUAUUGAAAUACCUGAUGAGUUGUUGCUGGUUCUCUAGGGAGCAUGUGCACACUUUGUCAUGUUUUUAUAUCUUCACCUGUGCAUCUUGUGUAGACCUGGAAAGGUCUAUGUAUAUAUAUAUAUACUCAGAUUAAUGAAUUGAUAUUAAAUGGCCUUUUGUGGCCUUUAUUUAUACACAACUUUCAGCAAUGGAUCUCUAGGCUCUUGCAUCGAUGAAGAACGCAGCGAAAUGCGAUAAGUAAUGUGAAUUGCAGAAUUCAGUGAAUCAUCGAAUCUUUGAACGCACCUUGCGCUCCUUGGUAUUCCGAGGAGCAUGCCUGUUUGAGUGUCAUUUAUGUAUAAUCAACACUCAUUGAGUGUUGGAUUUGUGGGGGUUUUUGGUGGUCCCUUUUCUGAGAUCAGCUCCCCUAAAAUGGAUUAGCGGAACACAUUUUAUGUUUCAUUGGUGUGAUAAUUAUCAAUGCUAUUGAACAUGAAGCAAGUUUGGCUUCUAAACAAACACUUUUUUCAUUAGUCUGACCUCAAAUCAGGUAGGACUACCCGCUGAACUUAA